UCCCUUCCAACGAAUCAUCCGAAGCAACUGCCGGGCCAAGCGACAGCGCCACGGCGCUCCGUCCAACUGGGGAGACUUCGAGCGACUCCGCCGAGGAUGACAUGGGCCAAGCUUGGCCAUACAAACGACCGAGGACAACAAGGGAGCCACCAGACGGUCACGAAGACCCUGACUUUUCGUGGCCUUUUUCUCCUGACGAAUUUAAUGACGAUCACAUGGACGUGGUUGACAUGUUUUAAUAAUGGUCCGGUGGCCUCUGUUUAUGGUCAUGAUUUUAACGUCGGUUCUCAAUUCUAUUUAUCCCGGGCCCAAAGAUUCAUACACAUCCCUGCCUUGCACACACGCCAAGUGAUGUUCGAACACUCACUCCCGCCAAACUCUUUGCCGGACAGCCUUUCCCAUACAUACUAAACCUCUCAGCUUUCUAGAACCGAUAUGAGCCGUCAUGUUAUGCUUUCAUUUGUAUACCUUGCAUUACACCCCCCUUUUCCGGUACCCUGUGCGUCACAACAGACUCUGUAAAAUAUCUGUAAAUAAGUAAAUGUUGCGCUGCUGGUUAUACUCUUUCAAUAGGUGUGUGAAUCUUUGAAGUAAAUAUGCUUGUUAUGUUCAGUCGUAACUGGACGCUGAUGCAUCUUCCCUGUAUAUAUUUUCCGCCUCUGAACAAAGGCGUAUGACAUGAACGCUACGUUCUUCUCAAAUUUUGAUCUGGCCGAUUGAAGUGUUCAGCUUUUGUGCUAUGGUGCUUAAAUACUGUGCGACUGGUUAUGAAAGCCUCAGCUGUGUACAUAUCACGUUUAUUUAUUGUCCCACUUGUCUGUUUUACGAGGAUGUCUGUGACAAAAUUAUCAUUGCAACCAUUAAAGGACAUAA
rnacentral:lncRNA from 1 species